rnacentral:rRNA from 1 species
AGCGAACGCUGGCGGCAGGCCUAACACAUGCAAGUCGAGCGCCCCGCAAGGGGAGCGGCAGACGGGUGAGUAACACGUGGGAACGUACCCUUCGGUUCGGAAUAGCCCGGGAAACUCGGAGUAAUACCGAAUACGGUCCGUAAGGAGAAAGAUUUAUCGCCGAAGGAUCGGCCCGCGUCUGAUUAGGCUUGUUGGUGAGGUAACGGCUCACCAAGGCUACGAUCAGUAGCUGGUCUGAGAGGAUGAUCAGCCACACUGGGACUGAGACACGGCCCAGACUCCUACGGGAGGCAGCAGUGGGGAAUAUUGGACAAGUGGGCGAAAGCCUGAUCCAGCCAUGCCGCGUGAGUGAUGAA